rnacentral:rRNA from 1 species
GACGAACGCUGGCGGCGUGCCUAAUACAUGCAAGUUGAGCGCUGAAGGUUGGUACUUGUACCAACUGGAUGAGCAGCGAACGGGUGAGUAACGCGUGGGGAAUCUGCCUUUGAGCGGGGGACAACAUUUGGAAACGAAUGCUAAUACCGCAUAAAAACUUUAAACACAAGUUUUAAGUUUGAAAGAUGCAAUUGCAUCACUCAAAGAUGAUCCCGCGUUGUAUUAGCUAGUUGGUGAGGUAAAGGCUCACCAAGGCGAUGAUACAUAGCCGACCUGAGAGGGUGAUCGGCCACAUUGGGACUGGGACACGGCCCAAACUCCUACGGGAGGCAGCAGUAGGGAAUCUUCGGCCAUAGGCGAAAGUCUGACCGAGCAACGCCGCGUGAGUGAAGAAGGUUUUCGGAUCGUAAAACUCUGUUGGUAGAGAAGAACGUUGGUGAGAGUGGAAAGCUCAUCAAGUGACGGUAACUACCCAGAAAGGGACGGCUAACUACGUG